GGCAGGAGGUAACCAUUAAAGAGGACCAUCAUGUAGUGUGAGGAGUCAACAUUUCACACUAGAAAGCCCUUGGUUCAAGUUUUGUCUCUGCCACCUACAGAUUUUGUAACCCUGACAUCAUCUGUGCACUCCAAUAUUUAUGAGAAACCCACAAAGAUCCUUUGGCAAUGUUUCCAACACUGGCUCAACUUCUGGUGCACUGAGCUGUCCUUUAGAGUUCAGAUUGCCAGGGCUUCUGCUGGUGCAGCGGAUGACAUGGAAUUUUAAAAAUUAAGAAGCACAUGCACUAUCUUAUCAUUCAAAAACAAAAGCCACUUGAGAUACGUGGCUACCAAAGGGAGUCCACGCAAGCCUGGCGGUUUCCCUCUUACUACUCAAAGCAGCAGCUGGAGUUCCACAGCUGUUUUCCAUUGCUCUUGGAGCAUUACACAUGCAUUCGGAAAUGACCCUUAGGAGUCAAGCGGCCUUCUUUUUGUUUGCUUUUCUAGAAGAUAACUUUCCCAAUAUAGCACUGGAGUCAAAAGCAAGAAUUCAGGGUUGGAAACUCAGUCUAUGCAAUGGCCCAAAGGUCUUGGGCCAUUCAAAUUGCAAAACUGUGAAUCUUCUGGGUCUGGUAGGGGGGCCAGGGAGGGUUGAGCUUGGCUAUCCUUGGCCAUGGGCUGGUGAUAUGCAACAUAACCUCAGAAUGUACUCCAGGCUUGAGUGAACAGACAAUUUAAUAAUGAUUGUGACAGGCCUUCCUCUAUGACAUGUUCCAGCCUCAUGGUGAAAGGACAAUGGUUUUCAGUAUACCUGACCUUGGAUGCCAAGUACCUGAAGAUUGAGACCUAAAAUAAACUGUGGGCUGAAACCUUA
rnacentral:lncRNA from 1 species